rnacentral:rRNA from 1 species
AUUCCAGCUCCAAUAGCGUAUAUUAAAGUUGUUGCGGUUAAAAAGCUCGUAGUUGGAUCUCGGCGGGUAGGGUGCGGUUCAUUAUCUGAUGCUACUGCUCCAUUUACCCGUGUUUUUGACGGAGGUUUCAGGGUGCUCUUAAUCGAGUGCUCUGGGAUGUCGUCAGGUUUACUUUGAAAAAAUUAGAGUGCUCAAAGCAGGCUUUACACGCUUGAAUAUUCGUGCAUGGAAUAAUGGAAUAGGACGUCGCUUCUAUUUUGUUGGUUUUCGGAAAUCGACGUAAUGAUUAAUAGGGACAGUCGGGGGCAUUAGUAUUCAAGCGACAGAGGUGAAAUUCUUGGACCGUUUGAAGACUAACUACUGCGAAAGCAUUUGCCAAGAAUGUUUUCAUUAAUCAAGAACGAAAGUUAGAGGUUCGAAGGCGAUCAGAUACCGCCCUAGUUCUAACCAUAAACGAUGCCAGCUAGCGAUCCGCAGACGUUUUUAUUGUAGGCUCUGCGGGAAGCUUCCGGGAAACCAAAGCUUGUGGGUUCCGGGGGAAGUAUGGUUGCAAAGCUGAAACUUAAAGGAAUUGACGGAAGGGCACCACCAGGAGUGGAGCCUGCGGCUUAAUUUGACUCAACACGGGAAAUCUCACCAGGCCCGGACACUGGAAGGAUUGACAGAUUGAGAGCUC